CUGAGAAAGGCCCCUGGCCACCGAGAGGGCGCUCAGGCCCGCGCCGGACACGGCUCUGGAGGGGCCUCCUACCGGGACUUACGGAGUUCAGUCCCUCAGUGUGAGUCACCUCCGUCCUGAGGUGAAGUUUGAGGCCAGGACCCCGGGAAGACGCAGACGCAGGCCGGACAUAAAAAAUCUAGAGAGCGCGGCCCACCAGACGCAGGCGGGGAAAGUGACUCGAGAUUCUAGGGACUUCUGUGACCUCCGAAUAAAGUGGAGGCCUCUGGGGCGACAACUCUGCGGUGCUGCGCUGGAGCGGUGGGGAAAGCUUUGCUGACCGGAUAUUAAACUGCGAGAAUUGUCGCACGUGAACACCGUCCUGCCUGUUGUGAUUGUGUCAAACAAAGACCAGGAAUCGGUGUGACCAUCUCCACAGGCCAUCCGGGCAGUGCUCUCUCCCAGAUGAGAGUGGUCUGUACUGAGAUUUCCGAGGAAUGGAGACGCCACUACCACAUGCUCUCUUCCCUGUCUGGAUCCCUAGCCUUGGCCUGCAGGGAAGUUCUUUCUGACGUCUACCCUCAUUCUCUCCGGCAACCUCAGUGCAUUUCCUCUGACCCAGUCCCCAGGGAAGAUGGAGAACAGCAAGCAUCCCCAUCCCCACCACGCCUAUGAUAACUACUCUUCAGAAAUUUGCAAGUUGCAAUUCCCUCCUUAGUUUUUCUCCAAGGUGGAAAACUCCAACUCAUCUUUCUAAUAAAUCACUUUUUUCUUUUUUUCUUUCCAUCACA